GAGUUGGUGCACAACAUGAGUUGGUGCAACCUCUGGAUUGUUUUGGAUGGGUUAAAAAAGAGAAGCAGUGGAGAGGAAUUCGUGUAGCUGCUGUUCAUAGUAUUAACAAGCACAAGUUGAUAAUGUGCAUUUUUUCAGAUGUACUGUCAGAUAGGGUGGAAAAGGUGCUAACGUAAGUAUUAUAGCUCUGGACUACACUUCCCAGAAGCCAAUGAACUCUCGCAUGCUGUGUCACAUGAUCUCUCCACCUGAAUCAUAUUGUCUUGUAAUUAACCCAUGUACAUAGUCUCACCUUUCACAGUACUGGUUUAGGGCAAUGUUCAUUCAACCAUCCUCUAGGAUAAAUAAAGUGUAUCUAUCUAUCUAUCUAUCUAUCUAUCUAUCUAUCUAUCUAUCUAUCUAUCUAUGUAAAAAGGCAGAAAGUAGCUGCAGAUACGGUAUUAAUAUUUUAAUAUUGCAAAGGUACAAUCAAAAAACAUAAAUAUAAAACACAAGGUUUGGGAAUACAGGAACCUGGACACCAACAAGGACAACUGUAAAAGGCAAUCAUGAGACAAAGACUGCUGUUAAAGUUUGAGCUACAGGAGCUCGUCUGUUGGAUCGGACCACAGGGACCAGCCUUCUCUCCAAACGUGCAUCAAUGACCCAUGACCCUGUCGCUGGUUUACCACUGUUCCUUCCUUGGAGCACUUUUGAUAGAUACUGACCACUGCAGACCGGGAACAUCUCACAAGAGCUGCAGUUUUGGAGAUGCUCUGACCCAGACGUCAAGACAUCACAAUUUGUCAAACUCGCCAAAUCGCCCAUUUUUCCACAUCAACUUUGAGGACCAAAUAUUCACCUGCUGCCUAAGAAAUAUAUUCCACCCGGUAACAGGUGCCAUAACGAAGAGAUAAUCAGUGUUCUUCAUUUCACCGCUCAGAAUCUUAUAUAUAUUUGCGCAGAUGCAGACGGUUCAGUAUUUUAUGUUGUGAAUUAAACGCUCUGUUCAAGCUGUUAUUGGAAAAUAUCUAACAUGGUGAUGUAGUGACACUGAAAAUCGAGUAAAGCGCAUAGAGUGGUUUAUUCCUUGUUUUUAA